UUUAAAGAGGAAGGAUCUGUUGCUUGGCUACCAGGCCUGCGUAGGGUAAUGAGUGGAAAUGGGGAACAGAAGUGGAGAAAGAAGAGAGACCUAGAAGCGGGGUGGUGGGGAAAGGGCAGGAACCCCUCGUGGGCUGGAGCCUGCAGAGGGAGGGAGAAUGUGAGCAGCUUCCAGAAGGUGUGGGGCUUUGAGGAAAGGGGACGGAGAGCAUCUGAAGGAAGCUUGGCUGUGAUCGGGCCACUGUCUCCAGAAGACUCAGGAAGGCUACUCAGAGAAGGGUCCUCCCAAGGGAUGUGGGACGGUUGGCCUAACCCUGUGGCAGACGGCUCUGCUUCUCUUCAUGGCCUAUGGAUUUGGAAAGCUCCUGAGUGCAAUGAGGAGUACCUCACCUAGCAGCCAAGACCUAUUCCCUGCCCCAGUGCCCCAGUGCCCCAGUACCCCAGAAACAGGCCAAGCCCCAGACUCUCCUGGCAUAAAUACCGGCUCCCGUCCAACCUCACGCCAUCAGGUAUGGGAGAUGCUGGGACCAGCAGCUAGCAGAGGGAAAAUGACAUAUCCUAGGAUUCAAUCCAAUCAGGAUUCCAUCCCAAGGACCAAGGUAGAAUAGAACAGCAGCCGUUCUUUCUGGGAGAUGAACCCUGCAAAUUAAGCUGCCUGGCAGGCCUGGCAGCCUGUAGGUGUGACGGGUGAGGCCUCAGCCCACUCUUUCCCCAGCCCUUGAAUUCCAUUUGUCCAGGCCUCCAGGCUGUACAGCACCCCUGCCAUGUGCACAUAAGACAGCAGGGAAGCUGACAGGCGACCACUAUCCUCCCACUCCCCAUCAGCUGCUAGGUGAGUGGGGAACAAAGAAACAGAAAGUCAUGGGAACCACCCUCCCUUGCCAAGCAACAAAUGCGCUAAGAUGCUGAGCCAGGGGAGGGGGGAUUGGGCCUGGGAGCAGCUGGUAUGAUUGGUCUCACCUGCCCAGCAGACAGAAAAUGCCUGCAUUCUUGGUUGGGUAAUUGAACUGCCUCUCUUUCUGGAGGUGAGUGUGGGGCAGAGCAUCUCUGAGCACAGGCAUCCACUGCCUGUAGUUCCCUCCCUCCUAGGUAUGGGUCCUGGGGAGGUUAUACUUGGGGGCCAAUAACUGUAGGCAAUAAUGCUAACAGUAACAGUCACAGGGCUCGGGACAGGGAGGGAACCUUGGGCUGGGGUGGGCUGGAAUGUGCCUCCGGGGCAGCCGGUGAACUGACACUGCCCCUCCUCAUUUGCUUAGAGAGCCUGCCAUCGGGCCAGGCAGCCUUGGAGGGCGUGCCCAGACUGACAGCUGCCUAAGCACAAGCUUGCACUUGGCAGGAACUGGACUUGCCCACAGUCAGGGUGCAGUACAAAUUUGUAGGAAGAAUAAAAGGCUGUGGCAGCGAGUGCAUUUCUGAAAGUGAGAAGCUGAGAGGCAGCUCUGCUACUGGCUCUCUCCCACUCCUCUCAGAGGCGGCUUCUUCCUGACUCCUCCGCCUCCUGACCCCCAGGUCCUAUGCAAGUGUGGGAAAUCCUCUGGAUACCCGAGGGAAAGAAUGGGGCCCUCCCCUGGGGCUCUCGCACCCAGCGUGGCUGGUGGUGGUCAGAGAAGCCAGAAGGAUGAAGCUGCCCUGGGCGCAGGCAGAAUAGCACGUUCUGCCUCCCAGCCCACCCCCUCUCGGGGGCACAGAGUGUCACUGCUGCCCUGUAUGUCCCUCAGAAAGCUCCAGAGAGGCCAGGCAUGGUGGCUCACACCUGUAAUCCCAGCACUUUGGGAGGCCAAGGCUGGAGGAUGGCUUGAGCCCAGGAGUUUGAGGCCAACCUGGGCAACAUAGUGAGACCUCAUCUUUACAAAACAUAAAAAUAAAAAAUCAGCCAGGCAUGGCUGUAGGCCCAGCUACUGGGGAGGCUGAAGUAGGAGGAUCACUUGAGGCCAGGAGGUCGAGGCCGUAGAGUGCUAUGAUCAUGCUGCUGCACUCCAGCCUGGGCAACACAGCCAGACACUGUCUCAAAGCCCACACAAAAUAAUAACAAAAAGAAAGCUCCAGAGGCUCCCUGUACCCCACUUUCCACUCACCACCCUGCCCCACCCUACUCUGUGCCCCAUACCUGGAAGAUUGACUUCUAAGGCUGCACCAACCAGGCCUUUGGUUGGGUCAGUUAUGGAGACCUGACCGUGAGGAUGAAAGGCUGUGGAUUGCUCUCCACUCACUCACACACCCUGCUGGGCCUGGGGUGACCGUGGUGCUCCCCCGUGAAGGCCACGCUCCUGUGGGGCAGCCCCUCCUCCAGCCUUGCGCUCUGCAGGUCCCAAAUGACUCUGCUCUGUUGCCUUCAGGGUGCUCUGCGCUCCCUCACCAGCUCCCCUUAGCCCAGUCUGGUUACAUUCGCCAUCUCUUCUGCUGGACUUCCACUGAUACACACCUCGCACCUGCUCCCCUGAGCAAGAUGAGAAAGUAAGGGGAUAAGAUGCUUUAGACUGCACUUCCUCCCUAAACAAGGCCUGGUCUGGUUAGGGCAUGCAGAUGGACCCGGGUUUGAAUCUUAGUUCUGACACUAGGUAAGUUAUUGUUCUCCCGUUUUACUUACUUCAUCUGCAAAAUGGGAAUACUACCCUGCUCAGGGCUAUCAUGAGGAUCGAACUGAAUAAUGUGCACACACAUAGUGCUUAUCACUAUUUGAUACUUAGAGUUCCACAAACAGAAGCUAUCGUCCUGCUGUAAGAGAAGUAUGACCUGCCUGAAGCUCCCCUGCUUUGAUCCCCUUUUGAGACCAG
rnacentral:lncRNA from 1 species